UCUCUCCAGUGCCAAAUUUGGAAUCAUCAUGCCACAAUGGUGUUGCUGCAGAACUGAUGCUUCUACUCCAUUCGCUGCAGCAAGACAUUCAGAGAUGAGGCCCUGAGGUCAGCUUUAACCUAAAUCUGGUCGCUCCUCAAGGAGAGCUCUGAAGAAAAUUAAGUUGACAGCAACUCAGGUUGCUCACUGUUACAUAUGGAAGCACUUUUUUCCCUCCAAUGUAUGGAUGAUUGUUAAGGGAGCAACUUUAUUAGGAAGAAAACAUUGCUUUAAUUGCUCAGACAAGCAACAAGGUGGAUUCCGCGCAUUGUUUUGGGUUUUUUUUUUUUAAGGACACUCUCUGCUUUGCGAACUUCUUGGACAUACUACUUGUUUCUUUAAACCCAAAUAAAUUCCUUUUAAGAAGAGUUCUAAUUUCACCAUAUUACUGCUUAAUUUUUUUUUUAACUUAGAAAAUGAAAAACUUCUUUGUUAAAUAGGUGUUAGAUGUCCGGACUUUAAAGUAAUAUUCAUUUUUACUGAAGGCUUGCAUGUUGCAUUGUUUAGAUGGAAAAUCUAAUGAUAGAAAAUAGGCUGUUUCUAGCAAUGUCUAGCUAAAAUCUAGCUAAAAAUGUCUAGCAAAAUCUAGAAACCUGCAACCAAAUAUGUCUGGACUAUUGCUACCCUCAGGACACUGGAACUUCAUGCUAAAAUACUUUCAUUUAUAAUCUCAUUUUAACACCUGGCUCUAUUCCAUUGUUUUGAGUGAUACAAAAUCAGUAGGUACACAUUUUCCAUAACUCUAAGGUUCCUGGAGUUUAGGCUAACCCUGUCAGUAGAAGUUGAAAGGACGUAACAUUUUGCUCUAAGAACUGGCAGUCUGUUUGCUGUUGUUGCUUGUGUUCAGAUAUCAUACAAAGGGUACCACUAGAGUAGCUCUGAUUUUCUUAGUAGCCAAUGUUUUCACUUGCUGCAUUUUGCUCUCCUCCAGGUUUUUAAUGCCUUUGCUUUUUCUUUGAUGAUUUUUUUUUUUGUAGUCAAAGAAGAUCUUUAGUACUUUAAAACUAUAGUGACUGUACAAGAGCAAAUAAAGGAAAAAAAAAAGAGUUCAAGUUGGCAAAUAUGAUCUUCUAGAGCAUGGAGAUGAUCACUGUACUCAGAGAUUAAAUAUCGACUCUGUAUGUGUAUGGAUAUACUCCCUAAGAGUAGCUGAGAUAGGAGUGCCUUGUUAAUAUGCAAGGCCCUGACAGAAGGUAUCAACAAGGGGGAAGAAGAGGAGGCACAACUGAAAGGGAAUUAUUGAGAGCAGAAAAAAUAGAGCAAUAAGCCUUCUGGUUGCUCUGCCUGUGUUUUGUUAAUUUAAGGGAAGAAUUUUGGCAAGAAUGUGAUCUCUGCUCAAAACAUCAUUAUAUAUUUUCCAUCAGGUUUUCCCUUUGUACAAUGAGUCUGGCAUUCUUGCUAUGAUGAUACGAAGAUUGAAACUUCUCCUUGACAAACAGUAAUUUUAUUUCAAGGUAUUCUUUCAACAUCCUUCUUGAUUUUAUUUUACUCUUUGUGGUUCAUCAACAAACUAGAAGUCCUUCCAUUUACGUUCCUUGUUCUAGGAAUGUUGAGUACUACUUGUGUUUUGGUGACAUCUUCUGGAUAAGGUUGCCACCGGAAGGAGUAAUUAAAAUACAUCACUACUAG
rnacentral:lncRNA from 7 species